GAUGAACGCUGGCGGCGUGCUUAACACAUGCAAGUCGAACGGGAAACCUUUUAUUGAAGCUUCGGCAGAUUUAGCUGGUUUCUAGUGGCGGACGGGUGAGUAACGCGUGGGUAACCUGCCUUAUACAGGGGGAUAACAACCAGAAAUGGUUGCUAAUACCGCAUAAGCGCACAGGACCGCAUGGUCCGGUGUGAAAAACUCCGGUGGUAUAAGAUGGACCCGCGUUGGAUUAGCUAGUUGGCAGGGUAACGGCCUACCAAGGCGACGAUCCAUAGCCGGCCUAAGAGGGUGAACGGCCACAUUGGGACUGAGACACGGCCCAGACUCCUACGGGAGGCAGCAGUGGGGAAUAUUGCACAAUGGGGGAAACCCUGAUGCAGCGACGCCGCGUGAAGGAAGAAGUAUCUCGGUAUGUAAACUUCUAUCAGCAGGGAAGAUAGUGACGGUACCUGACUAAGAAGCCCCGGCUAACUACGUG
rnacentral:rRNA from 1 species